UACGGAGGGAGCUAGCGUUGUUCGGAAUUGCUGGGCGUAAAGCGCACGUAGGCGGCUUUGUAAGUUAGAGGUGAAAGCCCGGGGCUCAACCCCGGAAUUGCCUUUAAGACUGCAUCGCUUUGAAUCCGGGAGAGGUGAGUGGAAUUCCGAGUGUAGAGGUGAAAUUCGUAGAUAUUCGGAAGAACACCAGUGGCGAAGGCGGCUCACUGGACCGGUAUUGACGCUGA
rnacentral:rRNA from 1 species